GCGGCAAGAGCUCAGAUUUGAAAUCGUGCUUUGCGGCACGAGUUGUAGAUUGCAGGUUGGAGUCUGUGUGGAAGGCGGUGUCCAAGUCCCUUGGAACAGGGCGCCCAGGAGGGUGAGAGCCCCGUGGGAUGCCGGCGGAAGCAGUGAGGCCCUUCUGACGAGUCGAGUUGUUUGGGAAUGCAGCUCCAAGCGGGUGGUAAAUUCCAUCUAAGGCUAAAUACUGGCGAGAGACCGAUAGCGAACAAGUACUGUGAAGGAAAGAUGAAAAGCACUUUGAAAAGAGAGUGAAACAGCACGUGAAAUUGUUGAAAGGGAAGGGUAUUGCGCCCGACAUGGGGAUUGCGCACCGCUGCCUCUCGUGGGCGGCGCUCUGGGCUUUCCCUGGGCCAGCAUCGGUUCUUGCUGCAGGAGAAGGGGUUCUGGAACGUGGCUCUUCGGAGUGUUAUAGCCAGGGCCAGAUGCUGCGUGCGGGGACCGAGGACUGCGGCCGUGU
rnacentral:rRNA from 1 species